rnacentral:rRNA from 1 species
UACGUAGGGUGCGAGCGUUGUCCGGAAUUAUUGGGCGUAAAGAGCUCGUAGGCGGCCUGUCGCGUCGGAUGUGAAAGCCCGGGGCUUAACCCCGGGUCUGCAUUCGAUACGGGCAGGCUAGAGUGUGGUAGGGGAGAUCGGAAUUCCUGGUGUAGCGGUGAAAUGCGCAGAUAUCAGGAGGAACACCUAAGGCGAAGGCAGCUCGCUGGAACGGUACUGACGCUGAGGCGCGAAAGCGUGGGGAGCAAACAGG